GACAGAGGUGCCGAGCGUUAGGCGGAAUCACUGGGCUUAAAGCGUGUGUAGGCGGCCCGUUAAGUGCCUCGUGAAAUCCCCCGGCUCAACCGGGGAACUGCGGGGCAUACUGGCGGGCUUGGGUCGCUCAGGGGCAGACGGAACAGGCGGUGGAGCGGUGAAAUGCGUAGAUAUCAGGAGGAACACCGAUGGCGAAGGCAGGUCUCUGGGCCACUACUGACGCUGAGAAGCGAAAGCAUGGGGAGCGAACAGG
rnacentral:rRNA from 1 species